UGCUAAGCUCACUUAGACCUAUGAGUCUUCUAGCCCAGGAUUUUGACAUUGACCAGAGCGGGGCGGUCAGAGUGCGUUCCAAGAAACCCUGCAACAAGCAGUUAGGUUAUCCCUUAUCUCCAAAAAAGUUUCCAUUCCUCCCUCUGUAAUUAGAGGUUAGCUAACGCCUCAAAUCAUGAGAGUUUAUAUCUUUCCUGAGACCUCAUUUCAAAAAUAACUUUAAAUAUUUACUGCCGUAACUCUGGUCGUGCUCGUUACGAAAGUCCAAUCGUGGCUGGAGUUUUGCCAGGGUUUUAUUAUCUCUCAGCUUCAUCCCAUUUUCCUGCUGCAUGAUGAUCUAAGGGUGGGUGAGAGCAAUGAUUUAUACGAUAACCCAAAAAAAGAAUGGUAGCUGUUUUGGGAAAUCGUCAGAAAGCAACUAACUUUUCCUAUAUAUAGUUUUUUCCAUGUCAUGUAACUCACUGCAGCAGGAGCACAGGCUUUGGCAUUGCGUGGCGAGCCGUGGGUUUGUUUUCCACCCUGAUGGCUCUGUGUUGGUGGAGAUCCUGAGGCCGGGGCCCUCCUGCUAGCUGUGAUGUGCUGCUGGCCCGGAGCCACCCCAGGUGCUGGGGUCCGAGACCUGGUCUGGAGCAGCCCCUUCCCCAUUGCCUUCCCUUUCCUCUCUCUUCAUGCACUCAGGGUCGAUCUCCGGGGCAGAGCUGCAAACGUUGGCCUGCAGGGUGCAGACAAGAGGACCGGCGAAGACCCAGGCACGGAAAUAUUGGGGCUGUGAAAUUUUGGAAGGCCUGUGAACAGCAUGCUGGGGAGCUCGUGCAGCCUGGAGCAGCAAGGGCCCUGUCCAUUCCCAUAUCAAGAUGAAUAUUAUUUCCUUCGGCCAGGCCAUGUCGUUAUGGAAGAUACCUGGUCUUUCAGACUUCCUGAGAUUUACACAUCUACCACUUUCCUUGACAUAUACUUAUGAUCUGCUAUGCAGACUGGCUGAAUGUCAUUCCCAUCCCUGGACUCCUUCCUUCUCCUUUCCUUUCGGAGCAACCCAGGGCACAGAUGGAUACAGAGGCUGUGGUGUUUUCAAGGUUGCAGCAUGUUCCAAGACUAUGGCCUCAUGAAGGAACAGAAAAACCUCCUUAGGGACUCCAGGAAGAGCAGGGAAGGCUUGUGGUAUCUGCGAGCCUGUCUAUGCUAUUACCCCUGCAAAAAGAGUCUGCUUCACCAUCAGAAGAAGAAAGGAAAAGAGAAAGUCAUGAUCUUCCAGUACCGUAAACGGUUUCUUCAGCAGAUAAAAGUACAGAGGAUUACCACAUCUGAAGCAGUAGCUCCUGGUAUCUAGUGGUCUUUGAAUACAUUACCCACUAUGCUUGAGUUACCAAGUCAUUUCCUAUUUUAUUGUGUUCAGCUCUUCAUCGUUCAGUGGCUCAUGGAAAUUUAUGUGACAUAUUCACAAAGGAAAUAAAAAUAUUUUCAACUGACUUAGUGUAUCUGAC
rnacentral:lncRNA from 1 species